rnacentral:rRNA from 1 species
UACGUAGGGUGCAAGCGUUGUCCGGAUUUAUUGGGCGUAAAGAGCUCGUAGGCGGCUCGUCGCGUCGACCGUGAAAACCCGCGGCUUAACUGCGGGCUUGCGGUUGAUACGGGCGGGCUAGAGUUCGGUAGGGGAGACUGGAAUUCCUGGUGUAGCGGUGAAAUGCGCAGAUAUCAGGAGGAACACCGGUGGCGAAGGCGGGUCUCUGGGCAGUAACUGACGCUGAGGAGCGAAAGCGUGGGGAGCGAACAGG